GGGCCGGAGCGGGCCGCUCACCGGCGGCGCUUACCUGCUGGGGAGCCGGGCGCGGACCUGCCGCGGAACACGGCCGGAGAGCAGCACUGGGGGCUCGGUUCAUGACUUGAGGUUCUUGGGGCCUCCUUGUGGACAUUUCUACUCCUCCCAACAAGCGGGUGCAGCAGAAUGAGUUUGUCAACACGUAUGCGGCUAGCAGACACUUGGCUUUCUGUGAAACUCGUGCAACUGCAGGGUCGGGGUGAUGGGAAAGAGGAGUGACCAAGGACAGCACACCCGAGUCACCCCCACCCUGCCGCCGCCGGCAUGGGGAGACAGGAGACGGAGGCACUGGGUCUGCAGAUCGCGCAGACUGAGCUCCAGACUUCAUUUCACAAGGAGACCAUACCCACGGGAUUUACUGUACAGAAAGAAUAAACUCAAAAAGCGUACAAAUUA